AUUGAACGCUGGCGGCAUGCCUUACACAUGCAAGUCGAACGGCAGCACGGGAGCAAUCCUGGUGGCGAGUGGCGAACGGGUGAGUAAUAUAUCGGAACGUGCCCAGUCGUGGGGGAUAACGUAGCGAAAGCUACGCUAAUACCGCAUACGAUCUAUGGAUGAAAGCGGGGGAUCGCAAGACCUCGCGCGAUUGGAGCGGCCGAUAUCAGAUUAGGUAGUUGGUGAGGUAAAGGCUCACCAAGCCGACGAUCUGUAGCUGGUCUGAGAGGACGACCAGCCACACUGGGACUGAGACACGGCCCAGACUCCUACGGGAGGCAGCAGUGGGGGAAUUUUUGGACAAUGGGCGCAAGCCUGAUCCAGCAAUGCCGCGUGCAGGAUGAAGGCCUUCGGUUGGUUAAACGUUAGGUAC
rnacentral:rRNA from 1 species